AAAUACUGUAAAUGAACCUGGGAAAAACAACAAAAGCUCAUAAUUGGACAAAAACAUGAGAAUGCUCAACUUUCUGUGUGGUGACCUUCAGCAUAGGUCCUAAAACAACAUCCACUCCUGAUUAUUUAGCCAACAGUUCAGAACAGAGAUCAUCUAGCAAAAAAUUUUAAAUCACGUUUGGUUCUUAUAUAGAGUCACAAUGCAAA
rnacentral:misc_RNA from 1 species